UUUAACUUUAGUUUUUCAUAUUAACUUUAACGUCAUACCAAUUAGUUAACUACAUAUGACAACUUAGUCAUUUUCAAAAAUUUUAAAUAAUUUUAAUAACACAGAUGUCGCUAGGAACUAUUGUUUCCGUCAGCAGGCUGUCGUUUUGAAUAUUGUCAGUAACAGCUGUUCUUUGUACGAAUGGUGGCCAUUUUGUAAAAAUAAAAAAAAAACACAUUAAAUGUGAUUUUUAACAUUUAAGGGUUUUUUACCCUAACCAGUGGUUAUAUCCCUGGGUUAAUUUUUAAAAUAUAGAAUGUGUUUGUUCGAAGUUUUCUCUUCUUUUGAGGUUUUUACACCUAUAAGACGAUAGCUCUGAUGAUGGCAUUAAUAUGCUGAAAGUACUUAGCUGAUUUAAUAAAUUAAUUUACACAC